rnacentral:piRNA from 1 species
UAUGAAAUUUGCAGCUUGGUGUGACU